CACGUAGGCGGUUGGACAAGUUAGAUGUGAAAUACUAGGGCUUAACCUUGGUGCUGCAUCUAAAACUGUUUAACUAGAGUUCACUAGAGGGAAGCGGAAUUUCCGGUGUAGCGGUGAAAUGCGUAGAUAUCGGAAGGAACAUCAGUGGCGAAGGCGGCUUUCUGGAGUUGAACUGACGCUAAGGUGCGAAAGCGUGGGGAGCGAACG
rnacentral:rRNA from 1 species